CCUACGGGUGGCUGCAGUGGGGAAUAUUGCACAAUGGGGGAAACUCUGAUGCAGCGAUGCCGCGUGAGUGAAGAAGUAUCUCUGUACGUAAAGCUCUAUCAGUAGGGAAGAAAAUGACGGUACCUGACUAAGACUCACCGGCUAACUCCGAGACAGCACACGCGGCACUACGUAUGGGGCCUGGGUUAUCCGGAUUUACUGGGUGUCAAGGGAGCGUAGACGGCAGCACAAGUAUGGAGUGAAAUCCCGAGGCUUAACCCCGGAACUGCGUUUGAAACUGUGCGGCUAGAGUGCAGGUGGGGUAGGCGGAAUUUCUAGUGUAGCGGUGAAAUGCGUAGAGAUUAGGAGGAACACCGGUUGCGAAGGCGGCUUACUGAGCUGUAACUGACGUUGCGGCUCGAAAGCGUGGGGAGCAAACAGGAUUAGAUACCCCUGUAGUC
rnacentral:rRNA from 1 species